rnacentral:rRNA from 1 species
GACGAACGCUGGCGGCGUGCUUAACACAUGCAAGUCGAACGGAAAGGCCCUGCUUUUGUGGGGUGCUCGAGUGGCGAACGGGUGAGUAACACGUGAGUAACCUGCCCUUGACUUUGGGAUAACUUCAGGAAACUGGGGCUAAUACCGGAUAGGAGCUCCUGCUGCAUGGUGGGGGUUGGAAAGUUUCGGCGGUUGGGGAUGGACUGGCGGCUUAUCAGCUUGUUGGUGGGGUAGUGGCUUACCAAGGCUUUGACGGGUAGCCGGCCUGGGAGGGUGGCCGGCCACAUUGGGACUGAGAUACGGCCCAGACUCCUACGGGAGGCAGCAGUGGGGAGUAUUGCACAAUGGGCGGAAGCGUGAUGCAGCAACGCCGCGUGCGGGAUGACGGCCUUCGGGUUGUGAACCGCUUUCGCCUGUGACGAAGCGUGAGUGACGGUAAUGGGUAAAGAAGCACCGGCUAACUACGUG